CAGCAGUAGCCGCGGGAAUACAGAGGGUGCGAGCGUUAAUCGGAUUUACUGGGCGUAAAGCGUGCGUAGGCGGCUUUUUAAGUCGGAUGUGAAAUCCCUGAGCUUAACUUAGGAAUUGCAUUCGAUACUGGGAAGCUAGAGUAUGGGAGAGGAUGGUAGAAUUCCAGGUGUAGCGGUGAAAUGCGUAGAGAUCUGGAGGAAUACCGAUGGCGAAGGCAGCCAUCUGGCCUAAUACUGACGCUGAGGUACGAAAGCAUGGGGAGCAAACAGGAUUAGAUACCCCAGUAGUCCCUGUCUCUUAUAA
rnacentral:rRNA from 1 species